rnacentral:rRNA from 1 species
AAUCUUGCGCAAUGUGCGAAAGCCUGACGCAGCCAUGCCGCGUGAAUGAUGAAGGUCUUAGGAUUGUAAAAUUCUUUCACCGGGGACGAUAAUGACGCUACCCGGAGAAGAAGCCCAGGCUCACUUCGUGCCAUCAGCCGCGGUAAUACGAGGAGGGCUAGCGUUGCUAGGAAUUACUGGGCGUAAAGGGCGCGUAGGCGGACAUUUAAGUCAGCGGUGAAAUCCCAGAGCUCAACUCUGGAACUGCCUUUGAUACUGGGUGUCUUGAGUGUGAGAGAGGUAUGUGGAACUCCGAGUGUAGAGGUGAAAUUCGUAGAUAUUCGGAAGAACACCAGUGGCGAAGGCGACAUACUGGCUCAUUACUGACGCUGAGGCGCGAAAGCGUGGGGAGCAAACA